CAUUUGCAGGAUGAAAGGCUGGCUACCUUGAGUUAUAAACAGGAUUAUGCAAAUCAUGGAUUGGCAUAUCUCAUCGACUUUGUACAUGGAAAAGCACGGAAAAUGCCUGAAAUUUUGCAGCUGGAGCAACAGAAACUUCCAGGGAAGUCCCCUCAUUUGCUCACAUAUAAAGGAACUCCAAAUCUGAAGGUGUUCUUCUACCUUGUGCUUUGUUUUCUACUG